UACGUAGGGUGCGAGCGUUGUCCGGAAUUACUGGGCGUAAAGAGCUCGUAGGUGGUUUGUCGCGUUGUCCGUGAAAACUCACAGCUCAACUGUGGGCGUGCGGGCGAUACGGGCAGACUGGAGUACUGCAGGGGAGACUGGAAUUCCUGGUGUAGCGGUGGAAUGCGCAGAUAUCAGGAGGAACACCGGUGGCGAAGGCGGGUCUCUGGGCAGUAACUGACACUGAGGCGCGACAGCGUGGGGAGCAAACAGG
rnacentral:rRNA from 1 species